GAUGGGGCUUUACUGUGAAUUGUAUGGAAAAGUGGUGGUUGCGAGCAAGGUUCCUCUUCCCAAUUAUAGGCCAGAUCUCGAUGACAAGCGGCCUCAAAGGGAGGUGGUUAUCCCACUAAGCUUGCAAAGGAGAGUAGAGGGUCUGCUGCAGGAACACCUUGACAGAAUGCAGUUGAGUUCUGAAAGGGUCAGUGGCACUUCAGUUGACACUAAGGCCACUGAUCAGGUUGAAGAUGUAAAUCCAGAUGAUGAUCCCGAUUCUUUCUUAGAUGGCUCUGUUAUGGAAAAGGUUCUUCAGAGGCAGAGUUUGCGAAUGCGUAAUAUGCAGAGAACGUGGCAGGUAUAUUUCAUUUCCUUUUUUUG